CUUCAAUUAUAUGAAGUAUGAAUUAUGCCAUAUGUGAUCUAUUAUUUAUGACAUGUAUGUUAAACUUUAUAUAUAUGCAUAUCUUGGAGUAAAUAGUAUGAUUUUAGAUUUUUUUCUAGCAAAAUUAUCAUCUUUAGUUGGCAAAGCAUUCCUUGAAUUAUUAUGCCACAUUCUGAAAGCAUUACAACAUAUUUAAAGGAACAUUAUUUACUAGAUUCCAAGAAUUGGAUUCCAAGAAUAAAGACUGAAACAAAUAAAAAAAUGUAAAUGGUAGUUCAUGAACAUAAAGUCAAGGGACUCAGAUGAGUUUGGGUAUUGUUGACAGCUUUUUACUAUUCCUUUUUUUUUUUUUUUUUGCUUUUUACUAUUCUUACUUGGCUGUAGAUAGUUUUCUGAAAUGCUGAAAGAAAAGAAAGGCUUGGAUCAUGAAGAACUCAAAAGUAGGACUGAAAUUUUUUCUCCAAGAGGUCAAUUUCUUAGAUUUCUGCUAGGUUUAGAUGUGUGCAAGUUCACCCCCAUGUCAUCCUUUGAGGAAAGCAGGGAAGUUAUUAUUUUCCCAUCUUAGAGAGAUGAGGACCUGAAGCUCUGAGAUGGCGAGCGAUUUACUCAGUGUCCACACCAAGUAACUGGCAGAGUCAUGCCUUCGGACACUUUCCAUUUACUCGUCCAUUCUUUCCAUCUGUAAGUAGCGUACGUAACAUACUCUGUUUUGG
rnacentral:lncRNA from 1 species